UCAAAACGACUAAUCGGGGCAACCUCGAACUCCUGCCCGGUGAAUAAAUACCAUGCCACGGGCUCCUCCUCGACCAACUCAUGCACCAGCACCACCAUUGUAGGUUCAUUGCAACCGAAAUGCGCUGAUCCCGGGCAGAUCCACUCCUCUCGAUCCGACGAGCUCGCGCCCAACCUCCUUUGGCCUGAGGUUUAAAACUGCUCCCUCCCCUCGUCCAUCCUUCCGAUGCACGUCAAAGCCGCUGAUUAAGCCCACCGUCGAACCAUCGAUGGGGUGCAGGGGAGGGCAGUGUCUGCCAUUGGCGACUUCUGUCUAAACCACUAUGUAGGGCUCUAGGAUUGAUCAUGGUGAAGCGCCAUAUGUCGAGGAUCACGUGUGUCACGGUGGCAAGCAGGAUGGGUGGUCGGAGCUAGAGCAAUUGCUCGAUGGAGCAAUUGGCGCCGUCGUGGAUCGCACCGCACCGUGGCUGAGGGCCACCCCAACUUCACCCACUGGUAAGCCACAUCGAUCCAGACUGCUUGGAUUCCUGCCUUGCGUUGCACCGACCUCGAGAGGAAAUGGGGUAGUGGAGCGCGGUGGCGGGAUCACACCGUUGAAUCCGUCGCGGUGGAGCUACGGGCGCCACCCAGCGUUGUCCUUUGAGAAAGAAGAUGUCCUACGUCCUAGGGUCGUUGAUGAACGAAUCAAUGGAGUCGAUUAGAUCAGGUUUAAUAAAAGUGUGGGCAGUUGAAACCCAGAUGAGCGCAUGAUAUCACAUCUAUCAUACCCUUGGAUCUGGUGAUUGAGAUUGCAUGCCGAUUCGGACUCUAUUGUCAGCCCUUGGAUCGCGAUCUGGUGAACCAGAGCGCUUCACGGACAUAGCAGCACGGUAGUCUUCCAUAUGAGCACCUCGGCUUUUACAAAAUCAACCCGCAGUCCUUACACAUAUACGAAUUAUCGCAAAACAUUCCUGAAUUUUAGAAUUCAGACCCUAGACUUCCUAGGAAUAGCACCGGCCAUCCACAAGCUACCUAAAAAUACGAAAUAAAUAUAGAAAUACAAUUUUAAUAUGGAAAAGAUUCCAUAAGCUUAUUUAAUUCAUAACUUAUGCAUUUUAGCUCCGAUUUGAUCCACCUAAAUCGCGCUAGCUUCGUAAUAAAAUUGACUACACAAUAACAACACUAUUCGUAACAUAUCAUGAACCUUUAUCAAUAGAUAUAUAUUUAACUGGUGUUUAAUAGAUUAUCUUACUAAUCAAAGAUAAUAUGUCUAUAAUUAUUAUUUGACAAGAAAGGUGAUCUGUAGAUUAAAGUUAUAACUUAGAUUAAAGUUAAAAUGACUUAUUUCUUUAGAAUAUCUUUAUUACAUGAAUUAUAACCAAUAUAGAAUAUAGUUUCGUACUUAACCACAUAGAACUUCCAAAAACUAUACUUUUUUACCAUAACUCCAAAUUUAGUCGUUUUAGAACAUACGUUCUCGUAGCCGCACGUAGAAUAUUCUCACGCUGUUUGUUCUCAUGUUUGGUGUAAUUUUAUUUUUAUGUACUCCUUGUCUAUUUGUAUGUAUGCUACGCAUAGGAGUGAGGUCACGAGAUAUCUGAAGACCAACUUGGUGAAGUACCUAGAGAUCUUGAGUCUAAGGCAAGUUGUGCCCUUAAUCACUCCUUUUUACCUAAUAAUGUUGUUGGUCACUUGUUCUCAAAUGCUAUAAAUCAAGAACAAGGCAACACAAUUGUUAAUGGUUAAAGACCUUCGUCCUUCGAAGCAUUAUUUCCUCUCGGAUAUAACGAUCUUCAC
rnacentral:lncRNA from 1 species